CGUGGCUGCCUCAGUCAUACACCUGCCGCUCCAACACGCCGGUCCUGUGAUGUCUGCCUUGGGUUCGUGGGUUAAUGGAUCAGCAUCGCUUCGCAUAUGACGCUGAUCCCAGUGGUGCCUCCAAAAUUCUGUUACAGGCCUCAGGUUGAGUGACCUGAUCACAGAAAAUAAAAA